rnacentral:lncRNA from 1 species
CGGACGUGAAAGUUUGCUGCGUAGGGAUAGGGAGACCGGGCCGGAUUGCGGGGAGUGAGCAGGUUCAGCAGUGACGGCAUUCUUAAGAGUCCUGCCCAAGUGAGGGACUUGGGGUGUGGGACAGAGUGGCCCCCAGGGCAGUGGGCGUUGGAAACUGAGAGGUCCUGCGAAGGAGGCUUGGGGAGGGGCUACGGUGACCAGGGAACGAGGUAUAGGAAGAGGAGGGCGGAAAGCCUUGAGGGUGGGCUUCUUGGAUCCCAAUUGCCGCAGAGGCACAGGCCUGGGCAUCACUGUAUUAUUUCCCGAGGGGAGAAGGGGCUAUUUCCCAUGGGAAGACCAAGUGGGAUGAAUAGUGGACCUUGAGAAGAGGGGGUGGCCAGGAAAAGGUUCCUGAAGGAGGCAGGAGCCAGACUGCAGGCUGGGGAGGGUUUGGGCAGCCAGAGGGAGGUGAGGGUGCUGGAGCGGGGGUCAAUCGGUCACUCCGGCCGGAGAUCUGAGUGGCCUCUGCCCCCUCUGCGCUGUGGAGUGCAUCUGAUUGCCAGCCUCGCUGGACCGUUGAGAGGAUUCAUCGAGACCCUGGAUAUGAAUAUGCAGUGUGAACUGAAGUUUGGGGACAUGAGUAAUCAGUCACAGUGGCCCAAGAUUUGAGGUGUAAAUGGAGAAGUCAGAAUGAUUCGCUGCAGCUGUCUGGAACAGGCUAUACAGGACGUGUGGUCCUGGCAGCUGCUUCUGGCGAGGGCUUCAGGAAGCUUACAAUCAUGGUGAAAGGUAAAGGGGUAGUUGGCAUAUCUCAUGGUGGG